AUUUACCACCGGCGGGAAAAUUUGAUCGCCGGAGUCUAUGAAACUGACACCGUUCCGUCGCUAUUUUCCCCUCUUAUCCACAAAACCCAUUCCAAUUCCUUCCGUAUUUUCUUUCCCUCUUUCUCCACAGAGAUGUUCUCUUCCCUUCAGCACGUCCUCCUCCUCCUCCGUCGUACCGGGUACCAGCGCCGUUUACCGCCGCGCCCUCAAGUUCCAGCGUCCCGCGACGAUUAAGUGGGCCCCGCAACUGGAGAACACCGCUACCUUCAUUGGCUCCGUCACGCGCGAACCGAAGCUCGUGAACUCUAAAACCGGUAAAUUUGGCGUUCACACUUUGCUCAAUGUUCGAAGAUCCAACCAACCCAAUAGCUCCUCUUUCCGGGUGCUUUUGAUGAUGUGGAACUGUGUAGCUGAAUUUGCUAGCAAAAACCUGAAACCAAAUGAUUUUAUUUAUGUUUCAGGUUGUUUGGGGUCUUACACAAAAGCUGAUGAUAGUGGGAACCUUCAAUUGAAAUUUCAGCUAGUUGUGAAGGAGUUAAAUUAUGUUGCUCAAAGGCCAGGCUAUCAAGGUCAUGAGAAAGAAAAACCUAAGGAAGAUAUAGAUGAAGCUGGCAUCCAAAAUGAUCAGAAUAGGCUUUACCUAUGGCAAGUGUUUUUUUCCAAUCCUAGUGAGUGGUGGGAUCAAAGAAAGCGCAAGCGAAACCCAAAGCAGCCUGAUUUUAAGCACAAGGAUACUGGUGAAGCUCUGUGGCUGAGUAACAAUGAUCCUCCAUGGGUUAAUAAACAACUCCAAUUGCUUGACUCAAAACUUGAAGGAGGAUUUGUAGGUCGUCGAUCUCGUGUCUCUAAUUGGGUUUUUGAUGAGUAGCCGAGAAAGCAAUAAAAAGAGACCACUAUGGUAAUGGGUCCUAAUACUUGGUGACUUGGUACUUUGUGAUUACAAUUUGUUACCAAGUUAGUGAAAUAGAGACCACUAUGGUUAUGACUUAUGAAUGUCACUAUUCACUAUUCUGAAUUCUCUAGGUCACACAUAUCUCAGCCGUUUGAAGGUUUAGCUGUUGACCCUGAUAAUCACUCAAUAGUCAAUAGCCAAAAUGAAAGAAUUAUUGAUGAUUGAAGAUGCACUUGAAGGAGAAGGACGUUGAUUUCCCUUCACGGCCUUGAUUACAACUCAUCCAUUAUCAUUGGCAUGCUUUAAAAGCUAUUUUAGGUGCCUAUUGGACUUCUCUGUGAGUUGUGUUGAAGCCUCAUUGCAGAGGUGAGUUGAGUCGUCGUUGCAAGAGGAGAGCUGCACUUUCUUUGUGGAAGAGGGCCUUCUGAGUUACGAACUAUAGUCCCUCCUAAAACUUUCUGAUUUAGAAAAUGUUGUAGUUGUGUGGAAGCCUUGUUGUGGUGGAGAGUUACGUUGCAUCGUGGAGAAGGAGUUCAUCCUUGCCUCCACCUUGUUGCCUUUGCAUUUGGUGGCCUCUGAAUCAUUGUAGGUGCACCUAUCCUGUGCUACCACUACGUCACCGUCAUUAACUCAUUUCUACGUCCCAAUAUUAUGAAAGAAGGAUUUUUCUCACAUGAAGAAGAGGAAGUUACCGAAGUAAGUGAAAAAGGUCAUGAUAAACUAGAAGCCAGCCAAUGUAGUUUAUGAGAAUGAUGAACUUAAAGUUUGAUGGCAUUUACCUCUGAAGAUAAAACUAUCAGGUAUUACACGAACUAUGCAUGAUGUAUGGGUUUUUGAAUUUCUAAAAUAAAUACGCAAAAGUGAAAAUGAUGGAAAAAAAAAUGUCUUACCGUAGGAUGUAGUCGAGCAAGGAAGUAUGUGAAUAAUUCAAAGAAUUUUUUGAAUCCAACUCUUACUAAAACACAAUGUAAGGCUAGAUUGAAUCCAUGUAGUUAGUUCAUAUGAAACAAUUGGUUUCAAGAGUUAUUCUUGAGUAUAAUCAUGAAUUAAGCCCAACAAAGUACGAUAUCUUAGAUGCAACAAGAUUUUGAAGCUCCAUAUUUUGACCAAAAAAAAAAGCUCCAUAUAAAAAAAGAGAUUGGAACUUAUUGAUCGAUUUGAAGUUAGUGUAAGUAGGAACAUUCGAUCUUUUGUGGUGGAAGUAAAUGGGUAUGAAAAUCUUACAUUUGGAGAAAAAAAGAUUAUAGAAACUAAAUUGACAAGGUAAGGCGUCUAUGACUUUGGAUGAUGAAGCAAUUCAAAAUUAUUUAGUAGAAAGCUAAAACAAAAUAAUCAAUUUUAUUAUGCGAAGGAUGUGGAUGAUGAAGAAUGUCUACGAAAUUUUGCGCAGAUGUAAGAAUAUUUUGAUGAAUUUUAUUGACUUUUUUUCCUUUCUACAAAUUAGUUUUGAAUUAAGCAUCUCAUGUCCCGAGUAACUACCUUACCUUGUCUAUAUAGUUUCUACAAUCUUUUUCUUCAAAUGUAAGAUUCUCAUACCCAUUUGCUUUAACAACAAAAGAUCGGAAGUUUCUAUUUACAUUAAUUAAGCUUGAUCAUUAAGUUCCAAUCUCAUGGGACUCCAAAUUCUAGUUGCAUCUAAGACCAUAUACAAUGGUUAAACAAAAAAUGUUUUGUUUAACCCUUUUCUACCCCACUUUUUCUCUUCCCAACACUCCACAUCAUCUUCUCUCUCCAAUUCAACAAACUUUCAACAAUUACCCACUCCAAUGGUUUUGUUUAACUCUCAACACCCUACCCCACCACUCACCACUCACCCUACCCCACCACUUUUUUAUUUCACAUUUUUAUUUAAUUUUAUAUUUUUAUUUUUAUAAUUACAUAAAAUUACAAUUAUCGAUUUAAAUUAAAACAAUAAACACUUAACAAUUUGUUUUUUUUUUAAAUAUAGACUUUUUUUAAAAAAAUAUAGACUAUAAUUUUUUUUUCUUUAACUUAAAAUGUAAGACAACAAACUAAGCAUACAAGAAUUUAUUUUAUUUUCUUAAAAUAAAAUGCAAGAUAACAAACUAAGCACACAAUAUCUUAAAAUGCAAGACAAGGGAAAACUAAGCACACAACACACAAAUAACGUAAAUAGUACGAUACAAAUCAUCUUCAAUCCUGAGACAUUCCAAACUUUGCCCAGAUGUGCUUCACUAGAUCUGCUUGCAGUUCAUGAUGAACAUUUGAAUCACGCAACUCGGAUCUAGCACGCACAUGAUUUGCAAAAGCGGGUAAAACCUCGGUCGAGUAUGGUUGCUGUGUACUAGAUCCACCUUCCCCAGAUUGCUCAAAAUCGGUCCAACGUUGAGCAUAUGAAUCUCGUUCAUCCUCGACAAUCAUAUUAUGUAAUAUGAUGCAUGACCUCAUAAUGAUACUCAAGUCAUCUAUGUCCCACAAGCGAGCUGGUUCACAUAUGAUUUUAAAACGAGCUUGAAGAACUCCAAAUGCACGUUCGAUGUCCUUCCGACAUCCCUCCUGAACUUUUGCAAAUAACUUAUCGGGUUCACUUUGAGGAAGUCUAAUCGUUUUGACGAAAGUUGGAUAAGAAGGAUAGAUAUCAUCGGCUAGAUAGUAUGCCAUAUUAUAGGGACGUUGAUUCACAAAGAAAUUCACAGCUGGAGUCUUUCCCUGUUCCACGUCAUCAAACACUGGUGACCGAUCUAGAACGUUUAUGUCGUUCAACGUUCCAGGACAUCCAAAAAAGGUAUGCCAGAUCCAUAGGUCAUAAGUUGCAACUGCUUCAAGAAUAAUUGUUGUGGUUCCCUUAUCCCCUCUAGUAAAUUGACCUUCCCAUGCUUUAGGACAAUUUUUCCACUCCCAGUGCAUGCAGUCAAUACUCCCGAUCAUGCCUGGGAACCCCCGCAUGUCAUUAGCAUGUAGUAUUCUUUGCAGGUCUUAUUGGGUUGGUGCUCUCAGGUACUGUUGCUCAUACAAUCGUAUGAUUCCUUUACAGAAUCUACGUAAACACUCCAAUGCUGUAGUACCUCCAAUUUUGAUGUACUCAUCGACCGCAUCUGCUGCCACACCAUAUGCUAACAUUCGCAUUGUUGUGGUACAUUUUGCUAAGGGUGAUAUACCUUGUUUAUUGGCUGCAUCAACGCGUUGGGUGAAGUAGUUAUCACUUCUUGAAAGGUCAUCAACGAUUCGAAGGAAAAGAUGUUUUUGCAUCCGGUACCGACGACGAAACAUUGCAUCGUCAUAUGUACGCUCAUUGGCAAAGUAGUCGCCAAUUAGCCUCUGGUUUGCCGCUGUAUGAUCUCUACCGAGAUAUUUUCUACUACGAGGUGCAGCAUCUUCUCGAAUUUUUCUUCGACGCUCUCUAAAUCGGUUGAGUACAUAAGCUUCUUCAAUUUGACUACUUGGAAUGUAUGCUGCAAGAUCAAAAGGACACUCAGAUGGAUCCAUUUUUUGUGAAAUUUGAAGUAGAUUGGAAGAGAUUUGGGAUAUUGGUACAUCAAUGGAUCUAUGAGUCCAUAUAAGUAGGUACAUUGAAUGGUGGUUGAGUGCCGGAUUUGAAAUAAGUUAUCAACCAGAGUUAAUUAUCGGAAAAGGACAAGAUUCGAAUUGAGUGGCACAUAUUCAAACACAGUUACCCGAGAAUCAUAAAAGCCAAACACUACUGACCUAACACCACGGGCAAAUUAUUAAAGAAAACAGUACAGACUUGACACCACUGGUGGAUUUGAAAUAAGUUAUCAACCAGAGUUAAUUAUCGGAAAAGGACAAGAUUCGAAUUGGGUGGUACAUAUUCAAACACAGUUACCCGAGAAUCAUAAAAGUCAAACACUACUGACCUAACACCACGGGCAAAUUAUUAAAGAAAACAGUACAGACUUGACACCACUGGUGGAUUUGAAAUAAGUUAUCAACCAGAGUUAAUUAUCGGAAAAGGACAAGAUUCGAAUUGAGUGGCACAUAUUCAAACACAGUUACCCAUACAUUAAAGCAAACAUUACAUAGCUGUCACCACUUGAAAAUUAUUAAAGCAAACAUUAAAGCAAAUACUACAGACUUCACACCACUGACAAGUUUGACCGAAUACAGACAAAGACUCGCUUGAAAUUAAUUUCCAAAUAGCUCUUUGGACAACUGCUCUAACAACUCUUUCUUACGGUCACUAAGAUGCUCUUCCGAAGUUAGCUUUAGAUACAUACUAACUUUCUUAGCAUUAGUCUUCUCUUUCAUCGCAUUAGUCUUCUCUUUCAUCAAUUCGUUAGUCUCUGCUUGCACCGAUGCUAUCUUGUCCAAUUUUUCAAGCUCUUUCUCCUUGAAAUGGAUAUAAGAAUCCCACUCUUUGUCCACCACCUCGUCGGCAUCUUCUCUAAUUUUCUUUUUACUCUUUUUUUUAGCUGCCUCCCUACCCAUUGGACGAGGAAUUGAUCCUAUAGAGUUUGAGCCACUUGCACCACUGUCGUGUGAUCUCUUAGAUCCACUACUUCUCGAGCCACUAUUUCCUCCUACCUGACUACAAAAACGUGGUUGAUCACGGAGAACGCGCCAUUCUUCCAUCAAAGUAAAUUGACCAAUCUUCCCACUUGCGUAUAAUUCCUGCGCUCUUGCGAUAACAUCAUCCUCCGACCAACCGCUUCGGUUCUCACGCUUAGCGCUAUCAUAAGCGCCAAUCCAUUUACCCAGUUUUGUGUUCAUAUAAUUCCAACGGUUUCGGCAGGCAACCCAAUCGCGCGGAGGAUCGAAUGAGCAAUGCUCAUUACAAUACUCAGCAAUAUCUCUCCAAAAUGUUUCUCCUUUCUGAUUUCUUCCGACAACACUGUUUGUUCCGCAAUUAAUCCACCCACUAAUUAGCACUAGAUUUUGUGCAGUGUUCCAUGCGGGUAAAUGGGCUUUUUUGCUCUUAGGAGUGAUUUCAUUGACUUCAUUAUCAGCUGACCCGCCACCAAGAUUGACUUGUGUUGAAAACUCCGGAAAUUCCGGUACAUCAACACUCGGAAAAUUUUCAGGAACCACUGGCAUAUAACCACUAGACUGAGGUGUUUGAGAUGAAUAUCUCACAGAUCCAUAAGAUGGAUGAGAGUUUGGAACAAUUGAUGAUUGGUUAAAAUUUUGUAUGUUUUGAGGAGGUUGGUACGAAUAUUGAUUCGGAUCUGGAUAAUAGUUUGGAUUUCGAGGACGUUGGUUGGAGAUUUGAUGUGGGACUUGAUAAUAGUUUGGAUUUUGAGGACGUUGGUUGAACAAUUGAUGUGGGACUUGAUAAUUGGUGGGAUUUUGAGGAUGUUGGUAAGAAAUUUGAUUUGGAUCUUCAUAGUUGUUGUGGUUUUGGUUGUAAAAUGGGUUGUUUGAAGAAUUCUGGGUGUUGAAAUGGGGAUUGUUGGGAUCCAUUUCAAUACAAAUGCUAAUAGAUAGAUAAAUAAGAUGGUGAGAGAGAUAAUAAGAGAGUGAAAAAACUUGGUUUUUUUUUCUGUGUCCAAAUCAAACGAACCAAGUCUCUAUUUAUAGAGAAAAAAAAUCAUGAAUUUUGGUAUAAUUUUUUUUUUUCAGAAAAUAUUUUUUUUUAUGAAAUAAUUGAGUUCAAAAGAUAAGGAAAAACGAAAUCCGGACGGACCAACCAGAGGCAGCCACGUGGCAGGUCACGCGCCUUGUCUGGGCGUGCAGGCCACGCGCCUGCGGUGGCCACUGGCCUCGCGCCACGUGGCACACCGCAGGCUCUUUCAACAUGUUUAAAAUCUUCAACAAAAUCACCCUCUCUCUCCCCUUUCAACCAAUUUCAACAAACCACUAAACCUAUUCAACACAAUUAAACACACUUCAACAAAGGAUUCAACCAUCCAUCUAAGAUAUCGUGCUUUUGUUGGGGCUUAGUUCAUAAGUAAGCUCAACUGCUCAAGAACAACUGAAACCAUAACUGUUUCAUAUAAACUAAUACAUGCAUUCAAUCUAGCCUUAUAUUGUGUUCUUGUAGUAGAAUUUGACUUCAAAAUAUUCUUUGAAUUAUUCACAUACUUUAUUGCUCGACUACAUCAUAGAGUAAGAUACAUUUUUUUCCGUCAUUUUUUUUUGGGAAUUCCCAAAACUCAGACAUAGACCAUAGUUUAUGUAAUACCUAGUAGCUUCAUCUUCGAGUUAAAUGUCAUCCCUCAGCUUUAGAUUCUUGAUCCUCAUAAGCAAUAUUUGCUUCUAAUUUAUCAUGAUUCUUUUCAUUUACUUCAGUCAUUUUCCCCUUCUUGAUGUGGGAAAAAUAUUUCUUUCACUAUGGCAAUUUUUUUAUUUAAAAAAAUAGUCUAUUAAUCAAACAAACAACUAAUGGACUAUCAAUCGUUGAGAAAUAUUGAAACAGAUAUUGUGACUCAGAAACGAGUCAAUGACAGUAAUGUAGAAGCAUCACAGGAUGAACGAUGAACUCCUCUACAUGCUGGACGGUCAGAAUUACAAGUUUCAAUUAAUCAUCAAAUUAAAAAAAUCCAAAGGCAUGCAUCAUGCCGUCAUCCCACAUAAUCAUGCCACAUAUUGAA